GCCGAUAGGGCUGCAAAAGCAGGUUACUUUGAUAUAGUAAUAUUUAAAGACUUUCUUUCGUCGGUA
rnacentral:tRNA from 1 species